rnacentral:rRNA from 1 species
CGGGGUGAGUAACGCGUGGAUAACCUGCCUCACACUGGGGGAUAACAGUUAGAAAUGACUGCUAAUACCGCAUGAGCGCACAGUACCGCAUGGUACGGUGUGAAAAACUCCGGUGGUGUGAGAUAGAUCCGCGUCUGAUUAGCCAGUUGGCGGGGUAACGGCCCACCAAAGCGACGAUCAGUAGCCGACCUGAGAGGGUGACCGGCCACAUUGGGACUGAGACACGGCCCAA